CUGCUGCUUCUGCGCCAAGCCGGCCGGGACACAGGCGAGAUGCCCGUAUGGAGGUGGAGGAGAAGCUGUGCCAACUAAUAACAUCAGCAAGGCAAAGGAUCAGGCUGGGAGCCGCCGCAUCCCGGGAGGGAAUGGGGCCCAGACGAAGGCCUCUCGCCACAGAGGAACAUCUCGCUGCACCGCUGCGGCUGCUGCAAA